rnacentral:misc_RNA from 1 species
UAUAAGUUCAAAUUAACUUAUAAGUACCUAGCCAAACACCAUCCUAAUUCAAAAUAAAAUAUAUUUUGUAAGUUUGUUGAUGUAAUUAUUUCAAUAAUAGGUGUAUCAUGUAUGUUUCUUUUGCAUAUGGUCACUAUAUUAAUAUAUAGGGAAAGCAAAUAGUUGGAUAUCUUUGAAUAUAUUUAAUCUAAUUAAAUCAUAUUAGAACGAGUUUGGAUAUUAAUAGUAUAGAUUAAUUUAAG